CGUCUUCGAUUUCGAUUCAGUCGUACAAAAACCUCUUCUCGUUCGUUGUUUCUUCAAAUUUGACCUUCAUGACUCGUUCGUUCUUCUAAGGGCUCGGCUUCUUCGACAAGAUUAAUUUCAUAAAGCCCUGUGGUUCUUACCAGCUUCUCAGUUUAUGAUUUUCAUUCAAGAUUUGUUAAUUCGAAGAUCUUCAAUUCUCUAAUUCUUUUACAGAGAUCGUGGAAUUGGGUGACAUCUUUAUGUAUUAAGAUAGAUCUUUAAUUCUCUUAUUCUUGUUUCACAUACAUAAUUGUCUUACGUAUGGUUUAUUUCAUCUCUGAUUUGAUUCUAAUAUGUUCUUUAUUGAGAAUAUUGUGUCGAAUCGAUUCUUGGUUCGCUAAGAGGUCUAGAAUCUUUUUGUUUACCAAGACUUCACAAAAUCUUCUGUCUUUGCGCUUGAUAUUUGCAAGCUUCUGAAUUUGCUUCCUAAAUCGAGUCUAUCUUGACGAAGUCUUGUCUUUAGUCGCAAAUUCUUUGUCUGCAUGGGGAGGCUUCAUGGUGGCAGUUGUUGAUGGAUAUUCUUCAAGGCAGUGGUGUAGCAGCUGAUUUGGUUGUGCAAUCUAUUGACACAAAUGGGAUAAAAGUUGUGAUGAUCAUCUUAUUAGAUGUACUGGGAUUAAGAAGCCCUUAGUAGAGGGUUGAGUCCUGGUUUUGUCAUCCGACCUUUGCCAUGACAGGUGCGCUUGCAUGGCAGGUCACACAAAUCUUAAUAAAAUUUUUGUUUUUGUGGUUUCGGGGGGAGUUCGCACGGGAUUGCCCGGGUUCUCUCCUCUGUGUUGUGUGUCUGCUCUUCUUUUUGUUGCUUCUAUAUCUUUUCAUCAAAUUUGCCACCAUCAUCCAAAUGCACCCCAUGCAUUUGAUUGGAUUUAUGAACUUGUUACUAUCAGCCCCAGGCAUUGACUGGAUUCAAACUUGGUACUAUUUUGUGAUGGAUCUGAGUGGUUGGAUUCAUAAGCAACAUCUCAGCAAAUUAACGUUUUGAACCCAUGCCAUGAUGAGAUCCUGCCGCACUAAUGCGUGUUCCACUGGAAAGUUAUUGAGAUCUGGAAGCUCUAAGUGGGAAGAGCAGUCAACAUUUCCAGAUUUGAGGUAUAUCUACUUACCUUAGUCCCAUUUCUGAAAUCCCAGGUGUCCCAUGUUUAAAUCGAUGGUUGGUUAGAAAUGGCAUGGACCUCUGGCCCUGCCAGAAGACCAAUCAUGCCGGUUGGUACCAAAUUGCUAAGGAAAUUUUGUUUAUACUCUUUCUUGUCUCGAGAAUUAUAAUUAUUAUUGUCAACAUGUUUUUAAAACUCAGAUCAGCCGAUUGGACCCAACAGACUUAACACACGGUAGUAGAGGAAAAAUUGUUUCAAGUUUUGACCCACUUUGUAUUAUGGUUGAAUCGGUGAUUUUGUGCCAAUUUGCAGGCUAAAUUAACAUUACAUUGAAAUGAUAAAAAAAAAAUAAUAAUAAAGGUCUUAAAUGGUGCAGAAACUCGUCUUCAGAAUGUGCCUGAUCUAAUAUUCUAUCUUUGCAUAUCCCUUUGACAUCUUAAUUUUUUCAUGAUUCAUUUUCAAUUUGCAGGCCAAAUAAACUUUACACAGAAAUGAAAAAAAAAAAGAAAGGUCUUAAAUGGUGCAGAAACUACUCUUCAGAAUGUGCCUGAUCUAAUACUCUUAUCCCUUUGACAUCUUAAUUUUCUCAUGAUUCAUUCAUUGCAAUCUUCUCAUAGGUUUUUUGGGAGGCCAAAGGAGGGGGAGAAGAGAUUGAAUCAUUGGACUGGAUUAGUUAUAAAGAGCCAUUGGUGUUUGUUGGUGGGGUCAUUGAUGGAGAAUUUGAGAGUAGCAGUGAGUGAGAGGGUGUUGAGCUAGAAGAGAAUCUGAUUAGGGUUUCUUAUCACUUAAGAGGCUGCAUGAGGAGGCUCCAUCGAGGCAGUGGUUGAUGGAUGGGAUAAAGUUGUGAUGACCAUCUUAUUAGAUGUACAGGGAUAAAGAAGCCCUUCGCAGAUGGUUGACUGCUGGUUUUGUCAUCCAACCUUUGCCAUGACAGGUGUGCUUGCAUGGCGGGUCACUCAAAUCUUAAUAAAAUUUUUGCUUUUGUGGUUUUGAGGGGAGCUUGCACGGGAUUGCCUGGGUUCUCUCCUCUUAUGUGUCUGCUCUGCAUUUUGUUGCCUUGAUGUCUUUUCAUCAAAUUUGCCACCAUUGUCCAAAUGCACUCCAUGCAUUUGAUUGGAGUUAUGAACUUGUUACACUAUCAGCCCCAAGCAUUGGCUAGAUUCAAACUUUUUACUAAAUCGAAAUGUAUCUGGGUGGUUGGAUUCAUUAGUAACAUCUCCACAAAUUAAGUUUUUGAAUCUAUGCUGAGAUGAGAUCCUCCUGCAUUAACGCAUGCUCCACUCAAAAGUUCUGGAGGUGAAUUUCUGCCAAAUUUUGACCUCUCUAUUAGAAUAUUUUGUUCGAUUAUGGAAAGGGAUGGCAUAUGUCAAAUAUUAAUUUAAUUUUAACAUUACCACUUGGUUUAAGUCUCAUUGUGGCCUAUCGAUUUACAUGAAGUUUGGAUAUUAACCAUCUCCCAUUACAGUUUACUAUGUACUCCAAGACAUUUCUACCUACAAUAUUCUCCUACAAAUUGGUCAUCUUACCAUAUGCUGUAAUGAUUUCAUCAUCCGACAAUAUGCUCCAUGGAAGUCACCUUAUUAUUUUUCUGAUCGUCUGCUUUGGUACGGUACGCAUACAUCACAGUACCAUUAUCAUUUGGUAAUGGGAAGAUAAGAUAGCACCAUAGGGUAAUGUUCUCUGUCUUGCAUUUCUCAGAAUUUAUCUGCAAACCAAUUGUUAUUGGAAACGCUGAAUCGGUAUUAUUUGAGCUAAAUAAAAUUCAGAAUUGUCUCUGUGAAUGUUGCCGAGAGUUAUGCAGCAUUGAGAGUAUGGUUUAUGGUUUUUGAAAAUUUAACUUGUCAAACUGUUGGCUUCUUUCCCUUUCAAGUAAUAGGCUAUUCUCUCAUUACGUUUAUCAAUAUUGCUGCUUCAUAUCAUUUACUGAAUUUAUUUUCAAGCCUAAAGUCUCUUCCUGAUUCAUCAAAUGGAAGCUUGGCACCUGCAAUAAAAGUUCAGAUAUCUCUCUAGCUGGGGAAGCAGAUUUUCUGGCAUUGGGUUUGUGUUGGAGAACAAGUGUUGUUGUAUAUUACUACAUUGACUGAUAGGUCAAUUUGGUCUGGAGCUUGUGAGUUUUUAUAAUGUUUCAUUCUUCGAAGUUAUUUGGGGCCUUGGCAGCAGUUUUGUCUAUUUGUGAUUUAGUCGUUUGGCAUUUCUAAUAAAAAGAUACACGGAGGAGUAUUAGAAGGCGUUUCCUAAUUGGCCUAAUCAGGCUUUAGCAGAAUUUGGCCAUCCUGUUCUUGUAAUUCUGUGAUUACAAGCUUAUUUUUCGAUUGUGAGAUGUGAAAAAUCGUUGGAUGGUUUUUCUC